GCGUCGGUGGUUCAGCGGUGGAAUACCUUGCCUGCCACGCGGGUGGCCUGGGUUCGAUUCCCGGCCGACGCA